CGCGAUGAAGAACGCAGCUAGCUGCGAGAACUAAUGUGAAUUGCAGGACACAUUGAUCAUCGACACUUCGAACGCACCUUGCGGCCCCGGGCUCCUCCCGGGGCUACGCCUGUCUGAGGGUCGCUU
rnacentral:rRNA from 1 species